UGGAUGUAGGUUCUAUGAUGACAAUUAGGGUAGACACCAAUCUGAGUGCAGGGGAAGUUCAGCUCAGGCACCCCCUCCACCAUUGCUGUAAGUCUUUCGCUAGUGACUUUUGAUCAUGACCCCUGUCGUCUUCUCAAGUAUUCAAAGGCCAGUGCAAACCAAACUCUUAAUCCACAUCCAAUUCAAAGUGAGGUCUUUCUCUACCUAGCUUCCACCUCAGAUUUAGCCUGUGGCUUAGGGAUUCUGUUCAUGGUGUUCUGACUACAUACCUUCCUGGCAGCCUCAAGAACUCAGCAGCUGAGUUUCCUAUCGGAGUGUGUAUCUAGCUCAUCACAUAGCAGAUUCUCACAUUGCCUCCAGUCUCAUCCUUGAUGUCUCUCCUCAGAAGGAGUGAGCCCGACCACUCUGAAGGGUGUCUUUGUCCCAGUUUCUAGCAUGUGGAAUCCCUUGAAAUUAUUUUAACAUUUAUUGUUUAAAAAUUUUACACACGCAUAUGUGUUUUGAUCAAAUCUGCUCCAAGUCCCUCCCUCCAAUUCCUCUUCUGUCUUCCACCUGCCCUUGCAUCCCAAUUUCUUAUGUUUUUUUUUUUUUUUUAAAACCACUUAGCCUGCUUAGUACAGGUGUAUGGUGUAGGGCUGCUUCCUGGGGGUGAUGAACUCACAGCUGCUGGGACUGCAGGCACAAGAUCUGCGUAAGAUCAAGCUAGUCCAGAUCCCAGCAGGCAUCAGGGAGGGACUCGGGAAGUCUCACUCACCUUUAGCUGAGGAAUUAUUGGCAAUUUAAAGAUGCUUAAGGAGGAAGAGUCAGUUUUCUUCUGGGAGGCAUCCCCUAAGAGGCUACCUGGGUCUUGACUAUGUUCCUCUGAAGGGACUGAACUAGGGGAAUAGUAGGGGCAACUUGGAUGCUGGCUUAGGAGGAUGCAUUCUGUGUCUUCAGUAAGAUGCUGUAAGAAGAGAUCAAACCAGGGGACAUCCCUCCAUCCAUGUGCCUCAGCUAAAGGAUCACCCUGACAGCGCGGGAGUUCAGUGCCCUGAAAUGUCGCAACUUUGUACACCGUGCCUGACGUUAGUCAACAGAGCCAGCUAAUUUCACCAGAGGAUCGGAGUCCAGGAAUACCUUCUUACGUUACCUUGGGUUUCCCCUAAUUAAGAAUCUUUUCCUUUCCCAAAGGAGAAUGGGAGAGAUCUUGGACUUAAGUAAAGGUAGAACUCAUAAUGUGCUUUUCUCACAGAAAAAGUCACAAAUGGACGAAGGGGGUUAUCCAUUUAAGUGGGGUCUGUGUGGUAUCUAGUACUGUUUAGACAGGGAAUGCUGUUAAAAUGGAGGAUA